UCUCUCCUCUGAUAGAUUUUUGUUGGAGGGGAAAAACCAUCUUCUAAUUAGCCUCGUCAGGCGGAAUGUGGCUAUGAUGAGAAAUUGUACUGUAAGCAUUAGAAAUUUUGGGCUUUUAUUCAGUUGAAGAAGAUAUGGAGUAUUCCAGCUUCUCGAGUGGGACUAAACGUGCUGUAAAAACAUGGCAAGCAGUCUGGUAGUUGCUGGGAGUCUUGGUACUCGAACAUAAAAGGUUGUGCUUUCAUAGCAGACAUCACUCAGAAAACUGCUCUAUUUGAUUACAGAGUGUGACGGUACUGGUGAACCCAACGUGGAACCAUAGUUUUUGGAAUGGGUUGAUGAAGUAGCAAACUGUCCUUACUCUGAAGGCAUGGGCUAUACCAUCUGCAAUGUAUGUGAAGGUAAAGCAACAAUCCAGACAUAACUGUAAACCAUACAAAACUGUAGAUCUACAUCUCUCUCAUUAUACAUGAUUUAUGCAUAUGAGAUGCUGAUAUUACAUCAUUUUUCCUCUGUGGUUCCUCCAAAAGUGCUUUGUCUUCGGCACUUGCCAAUGUAGUUCUUUGGGUUGGGCUGCAGCCCUUGUAAUUUUUCUGCUUCCUCUUUCUUUCUUCAAUGCAUAUGAUGUAGGGGAACUGAUAAUAAAUGUGAGUCACAUUGUAGCUGAGAUUCGAUGUUUCCAUGUCUUUUGACUUGCAUGGUACAAGUUUCAGCUGAUUUUGGGCGUUCAUAGAAGAAGUAUGGGCCGAUAUACGUCUUGGAUGAACAUUUGAGUGUGAUUCAACCAGUUUCUUAACAGACUGCGAAUGGGACACUACGUAUUCUAUUGCAAUCAAUUGAAGCUAUAGGUAGAAUUUGUAUGUCAAAAUCCAUGGAAAUAGGCGAAUUGUUAGGGCGAAAUUCAAGUGUAACUUGCCACCCAAAUCAACAGUACUUGU